AGAUUGAACGCUGGCGGCAUGCCUUACACAUGCAAGUCGAACGGUAACGCGGGGGCAACCCUGGCGACGAGUGGCGAACGGGUGAGUAAUACAUCGGAACGUACCCAGUAGUGGGGGAUAGCUCGGCGAAAGCCGGAUUAAUACCGCAUACGACCUACGGGUGAAAGCGGGGGAUCGAAAGACCUCGCGCUAUUGGAGCGGCCGAUGUCGGAUUAGCUAGUUGGUGAGGUAAAGGCUCACCAAGGCUACGAUCCGUAGCUGGUCUGAGAGGACGACCAGCCACACUGGGACUGAGACACGGCCCAGACUCCUACGGGAGGCAGCAGUGGGGAAUUUUGGACAAUGGGCGAAAGCCUGAUCCAGCCAUGCCGCGUGUGUGAAGAAGGCCUCGGUUGUAAGCACUUUGUUCGGACGAACGCCAAGGUCGAAUAACCUUGGUAAUGACGGUACCGGAAGAAUAAGCACCGGCUAACUACGUGCCAGCAGCCGC
rnacentral:rRNA from 1 species